rnacentral:rRNA from 1 species
GACGAACGCUGGCGGCGUGCUUAACACAUGCAAGUCGAACGGUGAAGCGCCUUCCUUUUUGGUGGGUGUGGAUGAGUGGCGAACGGGUGAGUAACACGUGAGUAACCUGCCCCCUUCUUCUGGAUAACCGCAUGAAAGUGUCGCUAAUACGGGAUAUUCUGGGUCUGUCGCAUGAUGGGUCUGGGAAAGAUAUUGUUUCGGUGGGGGAUGGGCUCGCGGCCUAUCAGCUUGUUGGUGGGGUGAUGGCCUACCAAGGCGGUGACGGGUAGCCGGCCUGAGAGGGUGGACGGUCACACUGGGACUGAGACACGGCCCAGACUCCUACGGGAGGCAGCAGUGGGGAAUAUUGCACAAUGGGCGCAAGCCUGAUGCAGCGACGCCGCGUGAGGGAUGGAGGCCUUCGGGUUGUGAACCUCUUUCGCCAGUGAAGCAGGCCUGCCUCGUUUGUGGGUGGGUUGACGGUAGCUGGAUAAGAAGCGCCGGCUAACUACGUG